ACGACCUAAGCCCAUGAAGGCAGAUGAGUCCGAUAGGGUUUAAGCAGGUCGAUCGUGAAAUCGCUGGAUUUGGUGUGCAUCGAACGAUUGGAUUUGAUGGAGCAGCAACACUCGUUAUGGGGACAUCUGCACCUGCUUCUGCAGUCCAGUUCCUGGGAGUCAGUUGAGUACAUUCUGCAGGCGCUAUGGAGGACCCGGCGGACUGGUCUCGACGAAAACGACCGCAAAAUCAUUCGCGAAAUGUUCGACAUCUCCUCAGACUCCGAUCUCGAUCCCCAACAUAAUGAGUCAGAGUAAACAGGUCGGAUCAUUGGCCAUAUGGGAUAGAGAGGUCACUGUUAUAUUUUGCGACCUUUUUAACAAGAAAGGGUGACAAAAUCUCAUGAAAAGUUCAAGAAAAUGACAUGAAGGAAUUACGAUAGGAUGAAAUUUAAGAAUAAGUGAGAUCAACUAAGGAAGGAUUGAAAAUUAUGGAAGAAACUAAAAGGUGAUUCACAUGAUUGGAUUGGGAUCCGAUGAAACAGUCAAUAGAUGCUUCAGAGGCUUGUUGGACUGAGAAAUUGCAGGCAGUUCCGACAGCAAGAAAAUUCAAAUUCAGUGGCAUUGAUCUGGUUUUAGAGGAGAAGUUGGACGGUAUCUUCAGAGUGAUUGUUGCAAUGGGAACUCAUGUGUUCACUCCAAGUGAGCAUGGGUUACAAGCAUACCAGAUGACUUGGAGGCCGAGCAUUUAGGCGAUUCAGGUGAAGGCCACAGUCUAAACCAGAGGGAGUUGGAUUCUACAUGCAGAUCAAAGCGGCGUAGUGUGGAGAAAAGAAAGAAAGAAGGAUAUGCUUUCAUCAGAAGCCUCAAUAAAAGAAAUGCUAGAAUCAUGUAAAAUUCAUGU